UACAGGGGGGGCAAGCGUUGUUCGGAAUUACUGGGCGUAAAGGGCUCGUAGGCGGCCAACUAAGUCGGAUGUGAAAUCCCCAGGCUCAACUUGGGAACUGCAUCCGAUACUGAUUGGCUUGAAUCCGGGAGAGGGAUGCAGAAUUCCAGGUGUAGCGGUGAAAUGCGUAGAUAUCUGGAGGAACAUCGGUGGCGAAGGCGGCAUCCUGGACCGGUAUUGACGCUGAGGCGCGAAAGCCAGGGGAGCAAACGGG
rnacentral:rRNA from 1 species